UGGUGGGGUAAAGGCCUACCAAGGCGACGAUCUGUAGCGGGUCUGAGAGGAUGAUCCGCCACACUGGGACUGAGACACGGCCCAGACUCCUACGGGAGGCAGCAGUGGGGAAUAUUGGACAAUGGGCGGAAGCCUGAUCCAGCCAUGCCGCGUGUGUGAAGAAGGCCUUUUGGUUGUAAAGCACUUUAAGCGAGGAGGAGGCUCCUUUAGUUAAUACCUAAAGAGAGUGGACGUUACUCGCAGAAUAAGCACCGGCUAACUCUGUGCCAGCAGCCGCGGUAAUACAGAGGGUGCGAGCGUUAAUCGGAUUUACUGGGCGUAAAGCGUGCGUAGGCGGCUUUUUAAGUCGGAUGUGAAAUCCCUGAGCUUAACUUAGGAAUUGCAUUCGAUACUGGNAAGCUAGAGUAUGGGAGAGGAUGGUAGAAUUCCAGGUGUAGCGGUGAAAUGCGUAGAGAUCUGGAGGAAUACCGAUGGCGAAGGCAGCCAUCUGGCCUAAUACUGACGCUGAGGUACGAAAGCAUGGGGAGCAAACAGGAUUAGAUACCCUGGUAGUCCAUGCCGUAAACGAUGUCUACUAGCCGUUGGGGCCUUUGAGGCUUUAGUGGCGCAGCUAACGCGAUAAGUAGACCGCCUGGGGAGUACGGUCGCAAGACUAAAACUCAAAUGAAUUGACGGGGGCCCGCACAAGCGGUGGAGCAUGUGGUUUAAUUCGAUGCAACGCGAAGAACCUUACCUGGCCUUGACAUACUAAGAACUUUCCAGAGAUGGAUUGGUGCCUUCGGGAACUUAGAUACAGGUGCUGCAUGGCUGUCGUCAGCUCGUGUCGUGAGAUGUUGGGUUAAGUCCCGCAACGAGCGCAACCCUUUUCCUUAUUUGCCAUCGGGUAAUGCCGGGAACUUUAAGGAUACUGCCAGUGACAAACUGGAGGAAGGCGGGGACGACGUCAAGUCAUCAUGGCCCUUACGGCCAGGGCUACACACGUGCUACAAUGGUCGGUACAAAGGGUUGCUACCUCGCGAGAGGAUGCUAAUCUCAAAAAGCCGAUCGUAGUCCGGAUCGCAGUCUGCAACUCGACUGCGUGAAGUCGGAAUCGCUAGUAAUCGCGGAUCAGAAUGCCGCGGUGAAUACGUUCCCGGGCCUUGUACACACCGCCCGUCACACCAUGGGAGUUUGUUGCACCAGAAGUAGGUAGUCUAACCGCAAGGAGGACUGCUUACCACGG
rnacentral:rRNA from 1 species